CGACGGUAACGGAAGCAGCUUGCUGCUUCGCUGACGAGUGGCGGACGGGUGAGUAAUGUCUGGGAAACUGCCUGAUGGAGGGGGAUAACUACUGGAAACGGUGGCUAAUACCGCAUAACGUCGCAAGACCAAAGAGGGGGACCUUCGGGCCUCUUGCCAUCAGAUGUGCCCAGAUGGGAUUAGCUUGUUGGUGAGGUAACGGCUCACCAAGGCGACGAUCCCUAGCUGGUCUGAGAGGAUGACCAGCCACACUGGAACUGAGACACGGUCCAGACUCCUACGGGAGGCAGCAGUGGGGAAUAUUGCACAAUGGGCGCAAGCCUGAUGCAGCCAUGCCGCGUGUAUGAAGAAGGCCUUCGGGUUGUAAAGUACUUUCAGCGGGGAGGAAGGUGUUGUGGUUAAUAACCGCAGCAAUUGACGUUACCCGCAGAAGAAGCACCGGCUAACUCCGUGCCAGCAGCCGCGGUAAUACGGAGGGUGCAAGCGUUGAUCGGAAUUACUGGGCGUAAAGCGCACGCAGGCGGUCUGUCAAGUCGGAUGUGAAAUCCCCGGGCUCAACCUGGGAACUGCAUUCGAAACUGGCAGGCUUGAGUCUUGUAGAGGGGGGUAGAAUUCCAGGUGUAGCGGUGAAAUGCGUAGAGAUCUGGAGGAAUACCGGUGGCGAAGGCGGCCCCCUGGACAAAGACUGACGCUCAGGUGCGAAAGCGUGGGGAGCAAACAGGAUUAGAUACCCUGGUAGUCCACGCCGUAAACGAUGUCUACUU
rnacentral:rRNA from 1 species